UGGGGAAUAUUGCGCAAUGGGCGAAAGCCUGACGCAGCGACGCCGCGUGAGGGAUGAAGGUUUUCGGAUCGUAAACCUCUGUCAGAAGGGAAGAAACCGCACUGUGCCAAUCAGCAGUGCCUUGACGGUACCUUCAAAGGAAGCACCGGCUAACUCCGUGCCAGCAGCCGCGGUAAUACGGAGGGUGCAAGCGUUAAUCGGAAUUACUGGGCGUAAAGCGCACGUAGGCUGCUUUGUAAGUCAGGGGUGAAAUCCCACGGCUCAACCGUGGAACUGCCUUUGAUACUGCUUAGCUUGAAUCCGGGAGAGGGUGGCGGAAUUCCAGGUGUAGGAGUGAAAUCCGUAGAUAUCUGGAGGAACAUCAGUGGCGAAGGCGGCCACCUGGACCGGUAUUGACGCUGAGGUGCGAAAGCGUGGGGAGCAAACAGG
rnacentral:rRNA from 1 species